CUGUCUUUUCGAGGUAGGAGUCGACUCCUGUGAGGUAUGGUGCUGGGUGCAGAUGCAGUGUGGCUCUGGAUAGCACCUUAUGGACAGUUGUGUCCCCAAGGAAGGAUGAGAAUAGCUACUGAAGUCCUAAAGAGCAAGCCUAACUCAAGCCAUUGGCACACAGGCAUUAGACAGAAAGCUGGAAGUUGAAAUGGUGGAGUCCAACUUGCCUGGACCAGCUUAAUGGUUCUGCUCCUGGUAACGUUUUUAUCCAUGGAUGACUUGCUUGGGUAUGGAGAGUCGGCUUGACUACACUGUGUGGAGCAAGUUUUAAAGAAGCAAAGGACUCAGAAUUCAUGAUUGAAGAAAUGCAGGCAGACCUGUUAUCCUAAACUAGGGUUUUUAAUGACCACAACAAGCAAGCAUGCAGCUUACUGCUUGAAAGGGUCUUGCCUCACCCAAGCUAGAGUGCAGUGGCCUUUGAAGCUUACUACAGCCUCAAACUUCUGGGCUCAAGUGAUCCUCAGCCUCCCAGUGGUCUUUGUAGACUGCCUGAUGGAGUCUCAUGGCACAAGAAGAUUAAAACAGUGUCUCCAAUUUUAAUAAAUUUUUGCAAUCCA
rnacentral:lncRNA from 1 species